CCUACGGGCGGCAGCAGUGAGGAAUAUUGGUCAAUGGGCGCGAGCCUGAACCAGCCAAGUCGCGUGAGGGAUGACGGCCCUACGGAUUGUAAACUUCUUUUGUCGGGGAGUAAAAUACGCCACGUGUGCCUUUUUGAGUGUACUUUAUGAAUAAGGAUCGGCUAACUCCGUGCCAGCAGCCGCGGUAAUACGGAGGAUCCGAGCGUUAUCCGGAUUUAUUGGGUUUAAAGGGAGCGUAGGCGGGAUGUUAAGUGAGCUGUGAAAUGUUGGGGCUCAACCCGGGCCUUGCAGCGCGUACUGGCAGGCUUGAGUCCGGGGGAGGCAGGCGGAAUUCGUGGUGUAGCGGUGAAAUGCUUAGAUAUGACGAAGAACCCCGAUUGCGAAGGCAGCUUGCUACAGCGGAACUGACACUGAUGCUCGAAAGCGCGGGUAUCAAACAGGAUUAGAUACCCCUGUAGUC
rnacentral:rRNA from 1 species